rfam:Salmo salar isolate Sally breed double haploid chromosome ssa12, whole genome shotgun sequence.
UGCAUUCACUACUGUAAGUUGCUCUGGAUAAGAGUGUCAGCUAAAUGACUGAAA